rnacentral:rRNA from 2 species
GGAUGAACGCUGGCGGCGUGCCUAAUACAUGCAAGUCGAGCGAACUGAUUAGAAGCUUGCUUCUAUGACGUUAGCGGCGGACGGGUGAGUAACACGUGGGCAACCUGCCUGUAAGACUGGGAUAACUUCGGGAAACCGAAGCUAAUACCGGAUAGGAUCUUCUCCUUCAUGGGAGAUGAUUGAAAGAUGGUUUCGGCUAUCACUUACAGAUGGGCCCGCGGUGCAUUAGCUAGUUGGUGAGGUAACGGCUCACCAAGGCAACGAUGCAUAGCCGACCUGAGAGGGUGAUCGGCCACACUGGGACUGAGACACGGCCCAGACUCCUACGGGAGGCAGCAGUAGGGAAUCUUCCGCAAUGGACGAAAGUCUGACGGAGCAACGCCGCGUGAGUGAUGAAGGCUUUCGGGUCGUAAAACUCUGUUGUUAGGGAAGAACAAGUACRAGAGUAACUGCUCGUACCUUGACGGUACCUA